rnacentral:rRNA from 1 species
CGGCAGCACGGGGGCAACCCUGGUGGCGAGUGGCGAACGGGUGAGUAAUAUAUCGGAACGUGCCCAAUCGUGGGGGAUAACGCAGCGAAAGCUGUGCUAAUACCGCAUACGAUCUACGGAUGAAAGCGGGGGACCUUCGGGCCUCGCGCGAUUGGAGCGGCCGAUGUUAGAUUAGGUAGUUGGUGGGGUAAAGGCUCACCAAGCCGACGAUCUAUAGCUGGUCUGAGAGGACGACCAGCCACACUGGAACUGAGACACGGUCCAGACUCC